GAUGAACGCUGGCGGCGUGCCUAAUACAUGCAAGUCGAGCGAACAGACGAGGAUCUUGCUCCUCUGACGUUAGCGGCGGACGGGUGAGUAACACGUGGAUAACCUACCUAUAAGACUGGGAUAACUUCGGGAAACCGGAGCUAAUACCGGAUAAUAUAUUGAACCGCAUGGUUCAAUAGUGAAAGACGGUUUUGCUGUCACUUAUAGAUGUAUCCGCGCCGCAUUAGCUAGUUGGUAAGGUAACGGCUUACCAAGGCGACGAUGCGUAGCCGACCUGAGAGGGUGAUCGGCCACACUGGAACUGAGACACGGUCCAGACUCCUACGGGAGGCAGCAGUAGGGAAUCUUCCGCAAUGGGCGAAAGCCUGACGGAGCAACGCCGCGUGAGUGAUGAAGGUCUUCGGAUCGUAAAACUCUGUUAUUAGGGAAGAACAAAUGUGUAAGUAACUAUGCACGUCUUGACGGUACCUAAUCAGAAAGCCACGGCUAACUACGUG
rnacentral:rRNA from 1 species